rnacentral:rRNA from 1 species
AGUGGCGUACGGGUGAGUAACACGUGGGUAAUCUACCUCCGGGUGGGGAAUAACGCUGGGAAACCGGCGCUAAUACCGCAUAAGCUCGAGAGAGGAAAGCAGCAAUGCGCCGGGAGAGGAGCCCGCGGCCGAUUAGCUAGUUGGUGAGGUAACGGCCCACCAAGGCAAAGAUCGGUAGCCGGCCUGAGAGGGCACACGGCCACACUGGCACUGAAACACGGGCCAGACUCCUACGGGAGGCAGCAGUGGGGAAUCUUGCACAAUGGGGGAAACCCUGAUGCAGCGACGCCGCGUGAGCGAUGAAGCCCCUCGGGGUGUAAAGCUCUUUCGGCAGGGAAGACUAUGACGGUACCUGCAGAAGCAGCUGCGGCUAACUACGUGCCAGCAGCCGCGGUAAUACGUAGGCAGCGAGCGUUGUUCGGAGUUACUGGGCGUAAAGGGUGUGUAGGCGGUUCUCCAAGUUUGGUGUGAAAUCUCCCGGCUCAACUGGGAGGGUGCGCCGAAAACUGGGGGGCUAGAGUGCGGGAGGGGAGAGUGGAAUUCCUGGUGUAGCGGUGAAAUGCGUAGAUAUCAGGAGGAACACCGGUGGUGCAGACGGCUCUCUGGACCGUAACUGACGCUGAGACACGAAAGCGUGGGUAGCAAACAGGAUUAGAUACCCUGGUAGUCCACGCCCUAAACGAUGCAUAUUUGGUGUAGGUCAUUCAGUUGAUCUGUGCCGGAGCUAACGCGUUAAAUAUGCCGCCUGGGGAGUACAGUCGCAAGGCUGAAACUCAAAGGAAUUGACGGGGGCCCGCACAAGCGGUGGAGCAUGUGGUUCAAUUCGA